UCUUCACAAGAUCUUCUUCACCUGUGGGUCUACAUCUAAAUACCCCUCUCCUUUCUCUUGCGAAGAUAACAGUUUUUGGAUUUAGGGCUCACUUUAAACACAAUAUUAAUUAGGACUCCUCUCAAGAUCCUUAAGUAAUGGUCCCUGGAAAGACCCUAUUACCUAAAUGGGUCGAAUUCUGAGAUUUGGGGUAGACAGGAAUUGAGGACUUCAACCAACAAUACCUCCCAUGCAAACUCGGAGGUCGAGUGAUCCAAGUGGUACAGUAACCAGAUGUCAGAGCCCCAACACCUGCCCUCACUAGGCAUGGAAGCAUGGGGGCCGAAACAAACCUCUGACUGCAAUUUCUGCAAUCAAAACACUACCUCAAAUCCCACAUGUUUCAUAGGACAUGCAUGCUUUGCCCAUGCCUGAUGGGAUCCAGCUUCCAGAGUCUGAAUUCUCCUUGCACUCCUGAUACAAUCCUUGGCUGUGUGUGCAUCACUCCAUUCUCCAAGGCCAGCCUCUCUACAUCUAUUAUGUCUUCACUGUAAAUGUGGAGGGCUACAUGAUGAAGUGGCAUUCAAUCUUCUCUGCUGGGUGAUGUCAGAAUCAGCAGUAUCACCACACAGAGUGGGCACCCCAGUGGCUGGAGGGGGAGCAUUUCUGAGCAAGUGAAGAAUGGGCAGGCAGAGGGAGAAGAGGAGAGAAGAAGACGGCUCCUUUUCAUUCUGCACGUGAGUGUCUCUGAGUCCCAUAAAUUCCUCUGCCCUGUAUAUUUCACUCAGCUGUCUAAAUGAGGUUUGCUCAUAUAGCCACCACUGUGCAGAAUCAAUCAUGCCCUUCUGCACAGAAUGUUAAUUGUGUGCCUCUCAAAAAAAAGGGGGAGAAAGGAAAAGAAAAAUGGAAGCAUACUGCAGAGGCCUUAGAAAAAACUCAAAACCA